ensembl:antisense Gm15792 predicted gene 15792
UUUGCCUCCCAAGCGCUGGGAUUAAAGGCAUGCACACCACUGCUCAGCUAACCUGGAAUAUUUCUUGAGACAACUUGGAAAGGAGCCAGAACCACGCUCAACGACUCAGCUUGGCUUGGCUGUUCAGCUCCAGCUUGGCUCACCUGAAACAAUCAUGAGGAAGUAGCUCUGGCAAGAGGCUGCCUGGGGCAAGAACUGUAGAAUGUUCCAGUUGUUCUCCACUUCGUCUUCCUGCUUUCCAGUGCUUCCCCUUUUGGCCGUCUGCAAGGAUGCCAUGGAGAACAAGGACUGCUGUCUUGGCCUCUCUCCUGGGUACUACUCUAGCACAAGGUGAUCAGCUGUAUCUCCACUUCACAAAUAUCACAGCCCUUCCCUCACGUGGCUCUUGGAUGCAGUCUCCAUUCACCCACAGGCACUGUGCAUCACUAAAUGGACCUGCUAGCUCCCAGACCUUGCCUGUUCACAACUCGGCACUGGAAUCCCCCCCUGACCUGCCACUGCCUGCUUUUCUUCCCCUUGUGGUGUGUUAGUCUUAGAGUGAGCAAGUAAAUACCAGCAUUUCUCUUCUAAUGCUGAAUUCCAUUCUGUGCAGAAAGUGGGCACUGCCAGCUCUCUGUGAUCACCUGAAACGACUGCCCCAACACCCAAUGGACCUGAGCUGUCCCAGCUCUCGGGGUGUCUUGCUCUCUCGACAUGUCUGGCAUUGCCAGUAUUUACAGAACUCUCUCUCCUCCCUCUUUUCCAUGAGUUUUGCCAGGUUCUGCC